AUAUUGGACAAUGGGCGAAAGCCUGAUCCAGCAACGCCGCGUGAGGGAUGACGGCCUUCGGGUUGUAAACCUCUUUCAGCUCUGACGAAGCGCAAGUGACGGUAGGAGCAGAAGAAGCACCGGCCACCUACGUGCCAGCAGCCGCGGUAAUACGUAGGGUGCGAGCGUUGUCCGGAAUUCUUGGGCGUAAAGGGCUCGUAGGCGGUUAGUCGCGUCGGGAGUGAAAACUCGGAGCUUAACUCCGAGCCUGCUUCCGAUACGGGCUGACUAGAGGUAUGCAGGGGAGAACGGAAUUCCUGGUGUAGCGGUGAAAUGCGCAGAUAUCAGGAGGAACACCGGUGGCGAAGGCGGUUCUCUGGGCAUUACCUGACGCUGAGGAGCGAAAGUGUGGGGAGCGAA
rnacentral:rRNA from 1 species